rnacentral:rRNA from 1 species
UACAGAGGUCCCAAGCGUUGUUCGGAUUUACUGGGCGUAAAGGGUGCGUAGGUGGCGGGGUAAGUCUGGUGUGAAAGCUCCGAGCUCAACUCGGAAAAGCAUUGGAAACUAUUCCGCUAGAGGGUCGGAGGGGAGACUGGAAUUCUCGGUGUAGCAGUGAAACGCGUAGAUAUCGAGAGGAACACCAGUGGCGAAGGCGGCACUCUGGGCCAGUACUGACGCUGAGGAGCGAAAGCGUGGGGAGCGAACAGG